CAGUCGCCGCGGGAAUACAGAGGGUGCGAGCGUUAAUCGGAUUUACUGGGCGUAAAGCGUGCGUAGGCGGCUUCUUAAGUCGGAUGUGAAAUCCCUGAGCUUAACUUAGGAAUUGCAUUCGAUACUGGGAAGCUAGAGUAUGGGAGAGGAUGGUAGAAUUCCAGGUGUAGCGGUGAAAUGCGUAGAGAUCUGGAGGAAUACCGAUGGCGAAGGCAGCCAUCUGGCCUAAUACUGACGCUGAGGUACGAAAGCAUGGGGAGCAAACAGGAUUAGAUCCCCGUAGUCCCUGUCUCUUAUACAC
rnacentral:rRNA from 1 species